AACUCUUGGCAAUGAAUAUUUUUUUCUCUUGUUAUAAAAUGAAGAAUACAGAAAAAUGCAAAACUUGGCGUGAAUUACAUAAUCAUAUUAAUCAUUGAGUUUUUGAAUGAAAUUUUUGUUUGAGGGCAU
rnacentral:rRNA from 1 species